rnacentral:tRNA from 1 species
GUCCUCGUCGUUCAACGGAUAGGAUGCGAACUUGCGGAGUUCGUGAUUGAGGUUCGAUUCCUCACGGGGACA